rnacentral:rRNA from 1 species
CAGCCGCCGCGGUAAUACAGAGGGUGCGAGCGUUAAUCGGAUUUACUGGGCGUAAAGCGUGCGUAGGCGGCUAAUUGAGUCGGAUGUGAAAUCCCCGAGCUUAACUUGGGAAUUGCAUUCGAUACUGGUUAGCUAGAGUGUGGGAGAGGAUGGUAGAAUUCCAGGUGUAGCGGUGAAAUGCGUAGAGAUCUGGAGGAAUACCGAUGGCGAAGGCAGCCAUCUGGCCUAACACUGACGCUGAGGUACGAAAGCAUGGGGAGCAAACAGGAUUAGAUACCCCUGUAGUCCCUGUCUCUUAUAA